GAUGAACGCUGGCGGCGUGCCUAAUACAUGCAAGUCGAGCGAACAGACGCGGAGCUUGCUCCUCUGACGUUAGCGGCGGAAGGGUGAGUAACACGUGUAUAACCUACCUAUAAGACUGGGAUAACUUCGGGAAACCGGAGCUAAUACCGGAUAAUAUAUUGAACCGCAUGGUUCAAUAGUGAAAGACGGUUUUGCUGUCACUUAUAGAUGGAUCCGCGCCGCAUUAGCUAGUUGGUAAGGUAACGGCUUACCAAGGCAACUAUGCGUAGCCGACCUGAGAGGGUGAUCGGCCACACUGGAACUGAGACACGGUCCAGACGCCUACGGGAGGCAGCAGUAGGGAAUCUUCCGCAAUGGGCGAAAGCCUGACGGAGCAACGCCGCGUGAGUGAUGAAGGUCUUCGGAUCGUAAAACUCUGUUAUUAGGGAAGAACAAAUGUGUAAGUAACUAUGCACGUCUUGACGGUACCGAAUCAGAAAGCCACGGCUAACUACGUG
rnacentral:rRNA from 1 species